rnacentral:rRNA from 1 species
CAGUCGCCACGGUAAUACGAAGGGUGCAAGCGUUAAUCGGAAUUACUGGGCGUAAAGCAUGCGUAGGCGGUUUGUUAAGUCUGCUGUGAAAUCCCCGGGCUCAACCUGGGAAUGGCAGUGGAUACUGGCAAGCUAGAGUGUGUCGGAGGAUGGUGGAAUUCCCGGUGUAGCGGUGAAAUGCGUAGAGAUCGGGAGGAACGUCAGUGGCGAAGGCGGCCAUCUGGGACAACACUGACGCUGAGGCACGAAAGCGUGGGGAGCAAACAGGAUUAGAUACCCCAGUAGUCCCUGUCUCUUAUAC